rnacentral:rRNA from 1 species
UACGUAGGGGGCAAGCGUUGCUCGGAAUUACUGGGCGUAAAGCGCACGUAGGCGGCUUUCUAAGUCGGGGGUGAAAUCCUGGAGCUCAACUCCAGAACUGCCUUCGAUACUGGAGAGCUCGAGUCCGGGAGAGGUGAGUGGAACUGCGAGUGUAGAGGUGAAAUUCGUAGAUAUUCGCAAGAACACCAGUGGCGAAGGCGGCUCACUGGCCCGGUACUGACGCUGAGGUGCGAAAGCGUGGGGAGCAAACAGG